rnacentral:rRNA from 1 species
UACGUAGGGUGCAAGCGUUAAUCGGAAUUACUGGGCGUAAAGCGUGCGCAGGCGGUUUUGUAAGUCUGUCGUGAAAGCCCCGGGCUCACCUGGGAAUUGCGAUGGAGACUGCAAGGCUUUGAAUCUGGCAGAGGGGGGGUAGAAUUCCACGUGUAGCAGUGAAAUGCGUAGAGAUGUGGAGGAACACCGAUGGCGAAGGCAGCCCCCCUGGGUCAAGAUUGACGCUCAUGCACGAAAGCGUGGGGAGCAAACAGG